rnacentral:rRNA from 1 species
UACGGAGGGCGCAAGCGUUGUUCGGAAUCACUGGGCGUAAAGCGCGUGUAGGCGGCUUUGCAAGUCGGGUGUGAAAUCCCGAGGCUCAACCUCGGAACUGCACUCGAUACUGCUUGGCUCGAGUCCCGGAGAGGGUGGCGGAAUUCCCGGUGUAGGGGUGAAAUCCGUAGAUAUCGGGAGGAACAUCAGUGGCGAAGGCGGCCACCUGGACGGUGACUGACGCUGAGACGCGAAAGCGUGGGGAGCAAACAGG